GGGUGCUAAUAAUGCAAGUCGAACGCACUCUCGUUUAGAUUGAAGGAGCUUGCUCCUGAUUGAUAAACAUUUGAGUGAGUGGCGGACGGGUGAGUAACACGUGGGUAACCUGCCCUAAAGUGGGGGAUAACAUUUGGAAACAGAUGCUAAUACCGCAUAAAACCUAACACCGCAUGGUGUAGGGUUGAAAGAUGGUUUCGGCUAUCACUUUAGGAUGGACCCGCGGUGCAUUAGUUAGUUGGUGAGGUAAAGGCUCACCAAGACCGUGAUGCAUAGCCGACCUGAGAGGGUAAUCGGCCACACUGGGACUGAGACACGGCCCAGACUCCUACGGGAGGCAGCAGUAGGGAAUCUUCCACAAUGGACGAAAGUCUGAUGGAGCAACGCCGCGUGAGUGAAGAAGGUUUUCGGAUCGUAAAACUCUGUUGUUGGAGAAGAAUGUAUCUGAUAGUAACUGAUCAGGUAGUGACGGUAUCCAACCAGAAAGCCACGGCUAACUACGUGCCAGCAGCCGCGGUAAUACGUAGGUGGCAAGCGUUGUCCGGAUUUAUUGGGCGUAAAGCGAGCGCAGGCGGUUUCUUAAGUCUGAUGUGAAAGCCUUCGGCUCAACCGAAGAAGUGCAUCGGAAACUGGGAAACUUGAGUGCAGAAGAGGACAGUGGAACUCCAUGUGUAGCGGUGAAAUGCGUAGAUAUAUGGAAGAACACCAGUGGCGAAGGCGGCUGUCUGGUCUGUAACUGACGCUGAGGCUCGAAAGCAUGGGUAGCAAACAGGAUUAGAUACCCUGGUAGUCCAUGCCGUAAACGAUGAGUGCUAGGUGUUGGAGGGUUUCCGCCCUUCAGUGCCGCAGCUAACGCAUUAAGCACUCCGCCUGGGGAGUACGACCGCAAGGUUGAAACUCAAAGGAAUUGACGGGGGCCCGCACAAGCGGUGGAGCAUGUGGUUUAAUUCGAAGCAACGCGAAGAACCUUACCAGGUCUUGACAUCCUUUGACCACUCUAGAGAUAGAGCUUUCCCUUCGGGGACAAAGUGACAGGUGGUGCAUGGUUGUCGUCAGCUCGUGUCGGGAGAUGUUGGGUUAAGUCCCGCAACGACGCAACCCUUAUUACUAGUUGCCAGCUUUAGUUGGGCCCUCUAGU
rnacentral:rRNA from 1 species